AACUAAAGGAGGCAGCAAAGAGGAGCACAUGGUUGGCUACGAAAAAGCCAAACAGCAGAUGAGGAGCAGCCACAAGCCUCCAGACACUCGGAAAAUGUGGACGUGGAGGAGGCACAUAGGGCAGAUGAUGAGCCCAGUGCAUCAGCUGCGUUCAGAGAGCCAGAGCCAGAGCCAAUCCCAGAUGAGAUCAGGACAGACUGGGAAAGGAGAGAUGAGCAAGAGGAUGAGAUGAGGGAGAGGAGAACAUCAGCAAGGGAGGAUAUUGAGAUGAAGAGUGGGGCAGAAUCCACAGAUUUCGAAUUUUUGCUGAG
ensembl:lncRNA